GGUACUGUGGUGCAAUAGGUAGCACUGCUGCCUUUCAGUAAGAAGGUCACUGGUUCGAGCCAGCCGGUGGCA